rnacentral:rRNA from 2 species
AUGGAGCACACCGCGUGAGUGAAGAAGGGUUUCGGCUCGUAAAGCUCUGUUGUUAAAGAAGAACACGUAUGAGAGUAACUGUUCAUACGUUGACGGUAUUUAACCAGAAAGUCACGGCUAACUACGUGCCAGCAGCCGCGGUAAUACGUAGGUGGCAAGCGUUAUCCGGAUUUAUUGGGCGUAAAGAGAGUGCAGGCGGUUUUCUAAGUCUGAUGUGAAAGCCUUCGGCUUAACCGGAGAAGUGCAUCGGAAACUGGAUAACUUGAGUGCAGAAGAGGGUAGUGGAACUCCAUGUGUAGCGGUGGAAUGCGUAGAUAUAUGGAAGAACACCAGUGGCGAAGGCGGCUACCUGGUCUGCAACUGACGCUGAGACUCGAAAGCAUGGGUAGCGAACAGGAUUAGAUACCCUGGUAGUCCAUGCCGUAAACGAUGAGUGCUAGGUGUUGGAGGGUUUCCGCCCUUCAGUGCCGGAGCUAACGCAUUAAGCACUCCGCCUGGGGAGUACGACCGCAAGGUUGAAACUCAAAGGAAUUGACGGGGGCCCGCACAAGCGGUGGAGCAUGUGGUUUAAUUCGAAGCUACGCGAAGAACCUUACCAGGUCUUGACAUCUUGCGCCAACCCUAGAGAUAGGGCGUUUCCUUCGGGAACGCAAUGACAGGUGGUGCAUGGUCGUCGUCAGCUCGUGUCGUGAGAUGUUGGGUUAAGUCCCGCAACGAGCGCAACCCUUGUUACUAGUUGCCAGCAUUAAGUUGGGCACUCUAGUGAGACUGCCGGUGACAAACCGGAGGAAGGUGGGGACGACGUCAGAUCAUCAUGCCCCUUAUGACCUGGGCUACACACGUGCUACAAUGGACGGUACAACGAGUCGCGAACUCGCGAGGGCAAGCAAAUCUCUUAAAACCGUUCUCAGUUCGGACUGCAGGCUGCAACUCGCCUGCACGAAGUCGGAAU